CUUUAUUUAUUCACACACAGCGCCAACAUUUGGGAACAAGGAUGCGCUGAUAGACGAAAAGAGGGGAAAUACACGUACUGUAUAAAGUUAUCAAUAAGUUUUACUUUUACAUCUCAGAGCACAUAACCGUGGGGAUGCGUUCAAGGACAAUGCAACAUGAUUCCACGUCCACAUUGUAUACCACAGGGUGCUGCCAUAAAGGAAUAAAAGGCUGGGGACGAAAAACAGAGAGGCGGCGGCGGUGGCAAAGCACGCAGCAGGAAUGACAACAUUGCGGCUGUCAUCACCGGCGGAUGAAAAACAGCACCUCUCAAAUGAGGCGAGGCUGCGGAUGACUCUUGCGCCGAUGAGGAAGUGGAUGCACGGGGAGCACAAAUCCGGCGAUGGAUGCAGAGUGGAAAACGUUCUCCCAUUUUGUGUGGAAGUGCCAACGAUGGAUGCAGAGUGGAAAAUGUUCUCCUAUUUCGUGUGGAAGUGGUAAGUUUGUUUCUUCUUUCUUUUCCAUUUGAAAGCUACAACAGGGUAUUAGGGCCACAUUGACAAGUCAUAAUAAUCUCAGAGUUCGAGUUGUAAAGAAGUUUACAAGAAUAAAGUUGUAAAUUUACAAGAAUAUAUUUGUAAAUAUGGCUGGAAAAAAGUUGGAUUUACGAGAAGUUGUACUUUUUUUAAUUAUUUGCUUUUAAAUUAACUACUUUUUUCCUCAAACUUUAUA